UGGGGGAAAAUUAAUAUAAUAAAAUAAAUAAUAAAAAUAAUUAUAAAAAAUAAUUAAUGGGGGUUAAAGUAUUUUUUAGAAAAAAUUUAUUAAUUUAUAGUUUAAUAGUAUUGUGAAAGAAUUUUGAAAUAAAGUUAAAUAUGGAUUAUUAUUUAAGUAAAUUUAAUUUAUUGUAUCUUGUGUAUCAGAGUUUAUUAAUAAAAUAUUUUUAAAUAAAAAUAUCUCGAAUUUAAAAGAGAUAGUUAAUUAUUAAAGUUAAUGUGACAUAAUUAUUUUAAAUAAUUAAUUUGAAAUGAAAUGUUAAUCGUUUUUAAAAAUAUCUAGUUUUUUUAGAAAAAAAUUUAAUUUUAAAUUAAUUUAAUAAUUUUUUAAAUUUUUUGUAAAAAAUUAUAUAUUUAAUUAAAUAUUUUAAGGGAUAAGCUUUAAAUUAAAUUUUUAUAAUGUUAAUAAACUAUUUAAAUAUUUUAAAAUUUAUAUUUUUUAUAAAUUAUAAUUUUUUAUAAAUAAUUUUAUUUAUUUUAAAAUUUAAAUUUAUAUUUAAAUUUAUAUAAAAAAAUAAUUUUUAAUAAUAAAAAAUUAGUUAUAAUGAUAAAAUUAGUAUAUAAAAAAAAAUAAAAUAAAAUUAAUUAAAAUUAAUAAAAAGGAAUUCGGCAAAAAU
rnacentral:rRNA from 1 species